rnacentral:rRNA from 1 species
GACGAACGCUGGCGGCGUGCUUAACACAUGCAAGUCGAACGGAAAAGCGCCUGCUUGCAUGGGGACUCGAGUGGCGAAGGGGAGAGGAACACGAGAGGGAUCUGCCCUGCACUUCGGGAUAAGCCAGGGAAACGGGGGCGAGGAUCGGAUAGGACCACAUGUGGCAGUGGGUGGUUGAGUGUGGUUCGGAGAGGGAUGAGGUCGGGGCCUAUCAGCCGGUCGGUGGGGUAAUGGCCUACCCAGGCGUGGACGGGUAGCCGGCCUGAGAGGGUGUAAGGCCACAUUGAGACUCAGACACGGGCCAGACGCCUGCGGGAGGCAGCAGUGGGGGAUAUUGCGAAACGGGCGCACGCCUGAUGGAGUGACGCCGUGUGGGUGAUGACCGCCUUUCGGUAGUAAACUAGUUUCGCUAGGGACGAAGCGCAGGUGACGGUACCUGGAGAAGAAGCACCGGCUAACUACGU